AGCUUGCUACUUUUGCCGGCGAGCGGCGGACGGGUGAGUAAUGCCUGGGGAUCUGCCCAGUCGAGGGGGAUAACAGUUGGAAACGACUGCUAAUACCGCAUACGCCCUACGGGGGAAAGGAGGGGACCUUCGGGCCUUUCGCGAUUGGAUGAACCCAGGUGGGAUUAGCUAGUUGGUGGGGUAAUGGCUCACCAAGGCGACGAUCCCUAGCUGGUCUGAGAGGAUGAUCUGCCACACUGGAACUGAGACACGGUCCAGACUCCUACGGGAGGCAGCAGUGGGGAAUAUUGCACAAUGGGGGAAACCCUGAUGCAGCCAUGCCGCGUGUGUGAAGAAGGCCUUCGGGUUGUAAAGCACUUUCAGCGAGGAGGAAAGGUUGGCGCCUAAUACGUGUCAACUGUGACGUUACUCGCAGAAGAAGCACCGGCUAACUCCGUGCCAGCAGCCGCGGUAAUACGGAGGGUGCAAGCGUUAAUCGGAAUUACUGGGCGUAAAGCGCACGCAGGCGGUUGGAUAAGUUAGAUGUGAAAGCCCCGGGCUCAACCUGGGAAUUGCAUUUAAAACUGUCCAGCUAG
rnacentral:rRNA from 1 species